rnacentral:rRNA from 1 species
AUUGAACGCUGGCGGCAGGCCUAACACAUGCAAGUCGAGCGGAUGAAGGGAGCUUGCUCCUGGAUUCAGCGGCGGACGGGUGAGUAAUGCCUAGGAAUCUGCCUGGUAGUGGGGGAUAACGUCCGGAAACGGGCGCUAAUACCGCAUACGUCCUGAUGGAGAAAUUGGGGGAUCUUCGGACCUCACGCUAUCAGAUGAGCCUAGGUCGGAUUAGCUAGUUGGUGGGGUAAAGGCCUAACAAGGCGACGAUCCGUAACUGGUCUGAGAGGAUGAUCAGUCACACUGGAACUGAGACACGGUCCAGACUCCUGCGGGAGGCAGCAGUGGAGACUAUUGGACAAUGGGCGAAAGCCUGAUACAGCAAUGCCGCGUGUGUGAAGAAGGUCUUCGGAUUGUAAAGCACUUUAAGUUGGGAGGAAGGGAAGUAAGUUAAUACCUUGCUGUUUUGACGUUACCAACAGAAUAAGCACCGGCUAACUUCGUG